ACAAGGUUUCCGUAGGUGAACCUGCGGAAGGAUCAUUACCGAGUUGAUUCGAGCUCCGGCUCGACUCUCCCACCCCAUGUGUACCUACCUCUGUUGCUUUGGCGGGCCGCGGUCCUCCGCACCGACCCCCGUUCGGGGGGCCGGCCAGCGCCCGCCAGAGGACCACAAAACUCCAGUCAGUAAACGUCGCAGUCUGAGAAACAAGUUAAUAAACUAAAACUUUCAACAACGGAUCUCUUGGUUCUGGCAUCGAUGAAGAACGCAGCGAAAUGCGAUAAGUAAUGUGAAUUGCAGAAUUCAGUGAAUCAUCGAAUCUUUGAACGCACAUUGCGCCCCUUGGUAUUCCGAGGGGCAUGCCUGUUCGAGCGUCAUUUCAACCCUCAAGCUCUGCUUGGUAUUGGGCUCCGUCCUCUGUGGACGCGCCUCGAAGACCUCGGCGGUGGCGUCUUGCCUCAAGCGUAGUAGAAAACACCUCGCUUUGGAGCGCACGGCGUCGCCCGCCGGACGAACCUUUGAAUUUUUCUCAAGGUUGACCUCGGAUCAGGUAGGGAUACCCGCUGAACUUAAGCAUAUCAAU
rnacentral:rRNA from 1 species